rnacentral:rRNA from 1 species
AGUGAACGCUGGCGGUAGGCCUAACACAUGCAAGUCGAACGGCAGCACAGUAAGAGCUUGCUCUUACGGGUGGCGGGUGGCGGACGGGUGAGGAAUACAUCGGAAUCUACUUUUUCGUGGGGGAUAACGUAGGGAAACUUACGCUAAUACCGCAUACGACCUACGGGUGAAAGCAGGGGAUCUUCGGACCUUGCGCGAUUGAGUGAGCCGAUGUCGGAUUAGCUAGUUGGCGGGGUAAAGGCCCACCAAGGCGACGAUCCGUAGCUGGUCUGAGAGGAUGAUCAGCCACACUGGAACUGAGACACGGUCCAGACUCCUACGGGAGGCAGCAGUGGGGAAUAUUGGACAAUGGGCGCAAGCCUGAUCCAGCCAUACCGCGUGGGUGAAGAAGGCCUUCGGGUUGUAAAGCCCUUUUGUUGGGAAAGAAAAGCAGCAGGUUAAUACCCCGCUGUUCUGACGGUACCCAAAGAAUAAGCACCGGCUAACUUCGUG